UACGUAGGGUGCAAGCGUUGUCCGGAAUUAUUGGGCGUAAAGAGCUCGUAGGCGGUCUGUCGCGUCGGCUGUGAAAACCCGGGGCUCAACCCCGGGCCUGCAGUCGAUACGGGCAGACUAGAGUGCGGUAGGGGAGACUGGAAUUCCUGGUGUAGCGGUGAAAUGCGCAGAUAUCAGGAAGAACACCCGUGGCGAAGGCGGCGCACUGGACCACAACUGACGCUGAGACGCGAAAGCGUGGGGAGCAAACAGG
rnacentral:rRNA from 1 species